GGUGUAGGUAGAUCCGGGGCAGGCUCAGGACCAAGUCCCUCUCCUUCCACCAAGGAGCGCCCAGAGGCCGGCGGGAGCUCCAGGUUCACCUCCUCCUCCUCCAGGAAAUCCCACUUCCAACUGGAUGUCUGGAUGAACUACUGAAAGCUGCUGAGUGUCCUGCAGCAGGGUCGGUGGACCUGGGUGUCUGUCUGGACACAUCCUCCAGUGGCCUGGACCUGCCCAUGAAGGUGGUGGACAUGUUCAGGAGCUGUUUGCCUGCGUGUGCUGUGAACUUCAAGUGACGGUAAGGGCCAUGUAGAAUUGAGGAGCCCGCUGGUGCUCCCGGCAGGCAGCCAGCCUCCGCAGGACCCCGACCAGCGACACGAUGGCUUCUGGGCAAUACAGCACGUCUACGGUGAAAGCUUCAGGUUACUGAAAGGGACCAGCGGACAGUUCCAGGUCAUG
rnacentral:lncRNA from 1 species